rnacentral:misc_RNA from 1 species
UUAUGUGGUGAUAGUAUUUGGUUACGGUGCCCUCAUCCCUGAAUUCAAAUCGUUAGUCGCCAUUCAUAGAAAAUUUUUGCAACAAGAAGGUUUAAUAGACUGUUGCUGGUAUUCCAUUAAUAACGCAGUCAAAAUUGUGCUGGUACUGCUAAAAUUGUUCGACACGCAAUACCCGUUGGGCAGCCGAUAAACGACUCACCAAUCACCAAUAAACUUGGAAUAUGACGACCAUUGAUUCAGACUCAGAAAGUCAAGAUAGCGACGAUGGACGUCGUUUUCGAUUUGAAGCUACUCGCAAAGAUGCUACAUUAAGACUGCAGAGUCAGAACAAAAAAAAAACAUCGCCGUCUUCUAAGCAUUCAAACUACAGAUCAAGGUCUACAAACAGCGAUAACCACAACAGACGAGGUCAUAAAGCAGCAAAACAGGUUCGAGACCGAUGGAAAGGUUCCAAAGAAGGAGACACCAGGGAUAAACAUGUUGAAAAAGAUAAUAGAAAUACGAAGGACACAGCUAAGGGCAUUAUUGUUAAAGAUAUGAUAGAAAUCAUUGAAAACAAAACUCUAACAGAGAACGACAAACGUACCUCAGAAUCUAUUAGUUUGGAUCAUCGAAACAGCAAAGAUCCUGCCAGGAAAUCUCUAAACAGUAAGGACCACAAGACCUGCAAGGGUUCUGGAGCUAGAGAAUUAAAAAGCUCAAGUACACGAGCUUCGAAAGAUACUAAAAUACGGGAAGUGAAAGAUCUCCGGGAAGCCAAGAACUCAAGGGAGUCUAUAAAUAGAGAGAGCCGUGACCGUGAUAGGGGUGCAAAACGAUCCCGUGAUAGAAGUCAUAGUGGACUAUCGGUAGCGAGAUAUGGACACAGAUCACGUGAAAAAUAUAGGAGUCGUGAAAGAUCGGAUAUCCAAGAAAGAGUGAAAUCAUUGGACACCGAGAAGUUGAAUGAUGAUAGAAACAAAAUCGUUACGCAAAAACAAAGUGACGGAAGACGAGCUGAUAAAAACAUGAUCAAACGGGAUGAUAGAUCUCCAAGUAAGAUUCUGGAACAGAUUGGUAGCGACGGCGAACCAGAUUUAGGUGCACUUGAUCCUGAUAAUGGACCAGUCAUGUCUCUUGAUGCAAUUGAGGAUUGUAAAGAAUUGAACUUGUCAGAUUUCGACAUAAUCUCAGACACAGAAGGAAGUUUGUCGGAUUUACCAGAAUCAGAAUUGUCACAUAAAGGACCGUUUGUCAAGGGAGAGAUUGUAACGCCACACUAUCAUGGACCGAGAGUAAGGAAACGAGUAUCGCGGCGGCAGUAUGAACGUUUGCUGAAGUCGCAGGCAGCGUAUAAUAAACGCGGCUUGGAGGAUUUAUGCAAGGUAAAUCCGAGGAACAACGAUGAUGCCGCAACGCUAGCUCGAAGUAAUAACCCUACUGCCAUUUCAGAUUUCUUAUUAGGUCCUGAGGCAUCUGUGUCCGCAAUAGGAGAACGCCGCGGAAGCCAUAUAAUUGAAGAGGAAAUCUGCAGUAACUAUGCGGAUCUAGAAUCAGAUGCAUCUGGUUGUAGCAAAAAUGCAACCAAAUCAAAAGAACGCGAUGCUCAGGAAUCAAAUAAAUUUAACCACUUAUCAAUAGAUAAGUUAAGCUUAGCUAAUUUGAGUGAAAUGGAACAACAGGGGCUGCAUGAAAGCAUUUCAAAAAACGAAAAUGAACGUGAUCUCAAUAAAAGUGAAGAGGCUCUGAAGGGGAAAAUGUAUGGGCCUACUUUGCCUCCGAAAUAUCGUAUGAAUCAUGUCUUUGCUGAAGAAGCUGGGGCUAGAGAAAUUGUACUUUCUCCGAAAACGAAGCGUCACCAUUCUUUCGAUGAAACCUCUCCGACUUUAAUGAAAAAAGCGAUGUCAGCAAAAUCUGAAAGAAACGUUUACGAAUCAAGUGUCAGUGUCGUUGGCCCUAGUUUACCCCCGAGUAUGGGCCGCAAGUUAGAAUUGCUGGAAUUGGAAUCGGACAAGCCUCUCAGGGCUUGUGGUCCUUGUCUCCUUCCAAGCUCUGCGAACAUGUUAAAUCAAGAAAAAAUAAUUGAUACCGAACAAGAAUCUGUUAAGACGAUUGGACCAAAAUUACCACCUCACCUACAACAACUAGAUAUCACUGUUGUGACUGCAAAAGUGCAAGAUUCAAUCUCACCCAAAAAUUCCGUAAUGUCGUCCGAAGAAUCUAUGUUUGGUCCAACACUGCCACCAAGUCUGAUGGCAAAGCUGAGGGAUGACGAUGUGAAAAAACUUGAUGCUGAUUCAGAUGAUGAUGUGAUCGGACCUAUUCCAGCCAAUUAUUCGGCUGCAAUGGAUGAUUAUUUUCAACAGCAGCUUGAAGAGCGUGCGAAACGAAUGAAAAAUAAACUUGAUGCUGAGAAUUCUGUCGUCGAUAAGAGAGAAGAGUGGAUGCUGGAAUUGCCUUCAAUCCAGGCUCCGAAUCUCGGCCUAGCUAAAAGACAGUUCAGGAACAGAGCGGGCCCGGAUAUGUCUGACCGAUCAAGCUGGACGGACAAUCCUGCAGAUAAAACCAGAAAAAGAGAGGAAGAGUUCAUCAGUUAUCAGGAAAGACAAAAGUGGCGGAUCUAGCAACGGAAUCAGAAAAGUUGGCAAUCAGUCAACGGGAUAAGGCAAUGGAAAAGAUGAAGGAGGCAAGGGAAGCCAAUGAGGCGACUAAACCAGCGCGGAGACCUUUUGAUCGAGAUGUAGAUCUGCAG